UACGGGGGAUGCAAGCGUUAUCCGGAUUUAUUGGGCGUAAAGCGCCUGUAGGUUGUUUAAUAAGUCUGUUGUUAAAGACUAGGGCUUAACCCUAGGAAAGCAAUGGAAACUACUAGACUUGAGUAUGAUAGGGGUAGAGGGAAUUUCUAGUGUAGCGGUGAAAUGCGUAGAUAUUAGAAAGAACACCGGUGGCGAAAGCGCUUUACUGGACCAUUACUGACACUCAGAGGCGAAAGCUAGGGUAGCCAAAGGGAUUAGAUACCCCUGUAGUCCUAGCCGUAAACGAUGGAUACUAGAUGUUGCGCUUAUUGUGCAGUGUCGUAGCUAACGCGUUAAGUAUCCCGCCUGGGGAGUACGAUCGCAAGUGUG
rnacentral:rRNA from 1 species